UGGAAAACUAAUCCACAGCUGCAACGUCGUCUGUGCUGCCAUUGCCCGUACGUCUGUCUCAUAAGUCAGUACAUGAAAAGUCUGUUCAAGAAGACGCGAUGAAAAAAUUAAAAGAUAGCCAAUUUGAAGAAUAUUAUGGAAGAUCUGCAGAAUAAAAAUCAAAUAAUAAAGGGCAAAGUGUAUUGAUGGAAGAAUUGGCAGGACCGCAAGACUUUUUGAAAAGGCAGGUAAACAAAUUUCAAGGUUUACCUUUGCCAAAGAAGUAUUCCCAAGAAAUAAGAAAGUUUGCUUUAACUUUACAUUUUCUUUCUCCGAAAGCGUAUAAUAAUUAUAUAUGCAAUGUGACAGGGUGUCACAAAGACAAUUUCUAAACAAAUUGACACUGUUUAGAUUUGUAUUUAUUGUAAAUAUAAUGUAGUUACAUAAUAAAUAAUGUGUGAAAUGAAUACUUGCUAAUAAACAGAUUUACGUUAUAA